UUCUGAUUCAUUGUCUCUUGUGAAGUUAUCAGUCAAACCAUCAGCUGAGACUGUAAUCAUCUGAUGUUUUAACUAGUACCAGAGGAUACACUUUCACAUGCUAUUGGCAGGACACUUUAGUUCUUCACUAGCUGUUUAGCAGAAUACCGCACUUCCUCACCACAUGUACCUCUUCAUAGAGCUUCCUGGCUUCCUCUAAAACAAGUAAUCCAAGAGAGAAGCAGAAGCCACCAUGGUUUUUUAUGCCGUUGUUGACCUAGCCCCCAAAGUGACAUAUUAUUACACAGAUAUGUAGCCAACCUGUGGGUCACUGUUACGGUUUGGAUGUGUGUCCCCUCCAAAUCUCAUGUUGAAAUGUGAUUCUCAAUGUUGGAAGUGGGGCUGGUGAUAGGUGUUUGGUUCAUGAGGGUAGAUCCCUUAUGAAUGGCUUGGUGCUGUCUUUGCGGCAAUGAGUGAGUUCUCGCUAUCUGAGUUCACACAAGAGCUGGUUGUUUAAAAGAGCCUGUCAUCUCUUUUGCUCCCUUUCUCACCAUGUGAUAUGCUGCUCCCCUUCUCUUCUGCCAUGAAGAAAAGCUUCCUGAGGCCUUCACCAGAAGCAGAUGCUGGUGCCGUGCUUCUACAGCCUGCAGAACUAGCAACUGGGAACCUAAUUCUGACCAACAAGGAGGAAUUGUUUGGCUAAUUGGAAGUGACAGAAACCUUGGGAGAAAGCAACCGCAUACCAAGGAUAAUUAUAAGAAGAAGAGAAGACAUGGAGAAGAGGAGGGAGUAGUUGUGACCGUGGAGGCAGAGAAUGGAGUAAUGUGAUCAUAAAUCAAGGAAUGCUGACAGCCACUAAAGCUGGAGAAGGCCAAGGACAGAUAUUCAAUCCUCCCGUAGAAGUACAGCCCUGCUAAUGCAUUGAUUUUGGACUUCUGGCCUCAGAACUGUCUGCAAAGCAUGGAAAUUUGUAUCUUCAUUCACUUUUGUUUUCAUGGACUCUUUUCAUGUUUG
rnacentral:lncRNA from 1 species